ACACUCACAAAGAGCCGAGGGGAGAGAGGGUGCGCAGACGGCCAGCCGGGCCGCGCCAGGGACAUACUGGAGACAGGAAGUGGCUGAGAGGGGGAGAGAGUUGGAGAGAGACGGCCGCGGAGGACACGGGGACGGGAAAGUCUGAGAGACGGGGAGAGCCUGACCCGGCGGGACACAGGCAGAAAGAAACACGCGAGCCAGACAGACGCAGAAGAAACGUGCCUGGUACUGGAUAGGAACUUCAUGGAAUGGAGCUAAUGGGCCGUAGGGCAGGUUUGAGUCGUGCCACCCUGGAGCAGAAGGUGGAGGGUAGGGAUAAGGGGGUGGAGCACCUGAUUCCAAUCUUGCCACAGGGAAGAAGAGUCUGUGAAGAAGGUGGAGAGAAACUAGGAGAAAAGCACAGGAUGUAGAGGUCUAUUCGGCAUAAUCUUCUCCCUCAUUUUCAUCUUCACCAUCAACAGAGAGAGCAGCAUACUUGCUUGCAGAACUGAACUUCUGUAACACAACGAGAGUGACAGGAUAAUGAAGGCCCUGAAUUAUCACAUCAAAACCCAAGACACAGGAUACUGAUCCUUUGGCAAUGGGGGAUGACAGUCAGAUGACACCCACUUGCUUGCUCAUCAGCAUUGUCCAUUGGAGAGGAGCUAGGGAAGAGGGUCAGAGGCACAUGCGAUCUUACUAUAGUCUCAUACCACCUCUACACCUUGCAGAAGGGAUGAGAACAAAGGAAGACAGAAACCAGGAAAAAGCUAAACUUCUUUCGCUAUUUCAGUAAAGACCAAUGUCUUAUUUCCAAACACUUUGUAUUCCAAAUGGAAAGAAGUCCAACGGCAAAAAGUUUAGAAUACUAAGAAUUUUUAAUUCUUAGUAAGAAUACUUAGAAUUCUAAGAAUUUUUCUUAGAAUGAAAAAUUGGGAGCAGCCUUCAACACUUACGGAAGCUGGAUUUUCCUCAGGUUUCUUUGGCUCAGGUGCAGAUCUGGAGUCUUGAUCCUUUUUGCCAUCUUUCCUGCAGAGACGUAAGCAUAAAACCAUGUCUUUAGGAAAGGACUCGCCUAAUACAAACAUGUGUAUGCAUGCAGUUUCAAGGCACUGAACAGGCACCUCUAGUCAACAGUCCUUGUUGUCUGGAUGAUGUAUUACUUCUAGAUUUUCAGAAUCUUAACUGUCUACGUUGGCUGACUUUAGUUUGCUCACAAUGAGCGAUCUGGCAGUGCUCUGAGAACCAAGAACUUAAUUUCUUAAUUACACAAACAUGUGGAUCAGAGGAAAGAUGAGAAAGAGAACAAGCAUACCUAUCUGACUCCUUCCAGUGGUCUCUGUUCCCUCCGUCGCCUGGACCACGGCUAGAGUUCCCAGUUUGGCCUUUUGGGGCAUUCAUCCCAUCUACUUUAUUUUCAUCUGCUUGGGCAGUAAUGUAAACAAAUUAAAGGCAAGUAAAAGUAUCAAUGUCCCUCUCCUAAGAUUUCCCUUAAGCUGAAGAAAAUUGUGCCCACAUGUACUGAGGGAAACUAACCUCACCCCAACCCAGACUUCCUUCCUGAAGCCCUUCUUUCCACAUCCUCUACAGCACACAAAAAUACAAAAAACAAACAAAAUCCACUAAAAAGUUCCAUGUAGGGAUAUGCCAUCAUGAAAAGCAAGCUGGAAAUAAAGAUUAUGACGCUCUGUAGUGA
ensembl:lncRNA TNS2-AS1 TNS2 antisense RNA 1